GAAUGGACCAGUGCAGAUGCACAGUCCUUAAAAUGGGAAGAGGAGGAGCCUGAGGAGUCUGUGAUAACUGACGAGGUCAGAGAACUGCAUCGGGAAGGUCUGAGCUAGGACUGAAAACGGAAUGUGUCAUAAACUAAGAAGUCAAGUGUCCUCUGAGCCAAGUCAGAAGUGGAUUGGGCUGAAUGUCCCCCAGAAGGCAUGAAGCCUAGUCAUGACUUUAGCUGGUGACAUCUGUCUCAGAGCCUGUACUCCAGAAAGUAAGCAAAAAUCUCUACACAGCCAUGAAAUGCCAUCUGCUCGAAACCACACAGACCAGCACACCAUGUUUCUCUGAGGUAGGAUGCAUCAUGGGUACAUUUUCUGUCUUAUGCACUUUUGUUCUUUUCGAUUUAUCUAGAAUUUAAUGCUAAACACUAUUUUGGGGGCUAAUGAAGUGGUCAACUUGAAAAGACAGUUGCCAACACAUUUAACAACCUGAGUUCAAUCCCUUGGACCCAUGUGGUAGAAGGCAAGAACAAACUCUGUCUGCUGUCCUCUGAUGGAUCCAUGCAAGCUGUGGCAGCAGUUAGAAAGUGGACAAAUAAAUCUGGGAACCGAACCCAGGGCCUUGCACUUCCUAGAGGAACACAACUAUGGGAACACGGCAGCCCUGCCUCAGUCAGUCUCUCGAUGGGCAGUGCUACCCAUCUCGACAGCAUCCGUGUGGCUGGACCUCAGCAUGGACUUAUCCCUGUGGAGUCUUCUCCCUGUACAUCGAACAAGAGUUUGACUGAGUGAAGUGUAGCAUGAGACAUGUUAUGUGAAGGAAUGAUUGAAUGAAUGAGGGAAUGAAUGAAUGAACAAAUAAAUAGAUCAGUGAAUAAAGGCACAGUCACAGGCCAGCAUCAGGCGGAAGCCAGCAGACUGCAAGUGGUAAUUUUGUUCCAAAUUGAACUGAGACCGUAUUCAUGUGAGCUAUUUGCAGCCUCAUCAGAGACGUUUACAGGCUAAUUAUUGUGGGGCACAAAAGCCCCAGCCGCCAUCCAGGGAUGCCUGGCUCACAUCUUAGAAGAAUUGAUUUAAAUGUCAUUAAUUUCCCCUGAUGAUUCAGAGUCACUUUCACGGAGGCCUCAGUAAAUGGCAAAGAAGCACGCACGUGUCCUUCCUGAAUCUGUUAGUCACAAUCCUGGGCAAUCAGCUCUUCUGUUGCCUUCCUCAUGUCGCCUGGGGGAGCAUGUGUCCCAGCCUCCACAGAGCCAAGCCAGUGACACUCUUGCUGUUUCUCAGAUUAGACACCACAGGAAAGUGUGUCUAAAGAUGCAUUCACACUGAGACCCUCCUCUAUACAUGAGGGAAAAGGAACCAAUCAGUUAUGCUCAAAGUCACAGAAGAGCUGGGAGCUGGAUGGUUUUCAAAAGUCAAGCAGGAUUUGAAUGGGAGACCCUAGGUUUGCACACAGCUUUGGGCCUGAAGUCACCAGAUAACCAAGAAGACUGAGAUUUUCUGGACUUUACAUCCUGGGUCUGUAUGUCUGUCUAUCUGUCUAUCUGUCUCUCUGUCUGUUUGUCUGUCUGUCCCUCUUUCUCUCCGUGUGUGUG
rnacentral:sRNA from 1 species